UGAGAACUGGGUAGUGACAGUUAUGCUUUAUAAAAAGAAAUAGAAAACCAGGGAUAUGUUUGGUGGAGGCUUGCUAUGGUGGGAGGUAAGCAGGUGUUUUUGCAGGCCCAUGCUGAGGCAUCUUUUCCCCUGAGAUACCAUCAUAUCCAGUACUCCCAUCUCCUAGGACCUCCUGAUUCCCCACCCCUCUAGCACAGAGAUCAUAACCAGCCCUCCCAUGCUUGUUUGGCUCUGUACAUGGUUGCUGGGGAUUGAACUUGGGUCCUUAGGCUUCCAUGUGGCCAGCACUUCACUGACUGAGCUGCUUCCCCAGCUCAUUGUGUGUAAGGGCACCUGUGGACACAUGUGUGGAUGUCAUGCACUGGGGAGGUACAGUGUACGGGACCCAGAAGUUGAUGGGUAUCUUCUGUGACAACUAUUUUAUUUACUGGGGAAGAGUCUCACAUGAACACCAGGGUUGCAGGUUGAGCUGCUCUAGCCAGUGAGCUUACCUCAGGGAUCUCAAUCUUUGUGUCCUGAGCACAGUAAUACAAGUAGGCCAUGUUUUGAUGCACUCUAGUGAUGGGAACUGGGGGCUCAUCCUUGUGCACACAAGCACUUUAUCCACCAAGCUUCCUUACCAGCCCACAGUUUUGAUUUUCGCUUGGUCCAUUUGUUAUUUGAGAUGGUGUUCCUCUCUAGCCCCAGGAUAGCCUAGUAGCACAAAUAUAGCCCAGUUUGGAAUUAAACUCACAAAAAUCCCCCUGCCUCAGUCUUCCAAGUUCUGGGAUUACAAAUCUGAACUACCAUGUCUGACUUCAACAUGCCUUAGAAACAAGUCUGGCCCUUCCAGGCCUAGUGGCAAGUGGCCCCGAUUUUGGGAAGCUGUAUUGUUCCUGCACAAGAAGUGAGUCACUCCCUGAUGCCUUGCAGACUCUCACAGAAUCAAAUUAAAGUUCAGUCAGUGCCUUCCCUUCUGCCCUACUAAUCUGGACAAUACCAAGAACCUGGGUACUGCUGUCAACGUGAAGAUGUUCUGUUGCAACGAAGACUUCUGCAAUGCUUUCAUUCCCCCUCGAGGUCUCAUCUGAACCAUGUCAGGGGUGCUUCUGUUCAGCCUGGGCUCAGUCCUCCUGCAGACCCUGCUCUGAUGAUCCUUCUAGUGUCCCCCACCCUUGUCCUUUCAUCCUCAUUUGCAACCACUGCUUACUGGAGCCCUCUAGUAAUGAGUUAUGAGUUAUAGAAGCUCUGAGUUGGAGGUAGUGUGUGGAACACCUUGUUUCAACUUUACAGGCACUGCUGGGUAGGUGCCCCUCCUCUCUAGAGCUUUCAGAUCUGUACUUCCUGGAAUGUUCUUUUGUUGUGGCUUGCUGCUCUUGACCCUGGCAGCAUGUGGAAGAAUCAGAAUUCCAAGGUAUUAUGCCAUCAGCAUCCAUGCAGAAAUAUCUGGGGUCCUGCAGGCUUUCCACGUGUGCAGCUCAAUGUCCCCGUGCUGAGUCUAAUAAACCCUUUGUUCUCCCAGCUAAGGUCUCCCUUUUUCUUUUGCUGCUCUGAGUCUACGGAGUCCUGCCUGCCAGGUCAUAUCUGUGCCCUUUCAGCUGGCCAUACUAGCUAGCUCGUGUUAGCCAGUUCAGUGUAGUUGAAUACUUGGUUUGGGUGGGCUAAUGCUGGGGGAAAAGAGAGGGUUCCCCCACUUCCAAAGAGCACUUGCUUGUGGUGCGGAAUAACACAGGAGAUGAGCCCUCAUCGGUGGGCGGGGCUGCCCUGUCAGAUUUUUUUUUUCCAGAGAUUGAAGCCAUUUCCUGUAGGUGCUCAUGGCUUGGCUCAGAGCAAACAAAGCAUCACACUGCCUUUCCUGAAGUCCUACUCUAUAUGGGAUGCCCCCAGUGGAAAGGUCUGACUUGACACAUUAACAACCAGGGAUCCAUCACUGGGACAUGAAACUUGAGUCAUGAGUAAGGAUUCUGGAGACUUCUCCUAAAUUAAGCUUUGACUCUGUUGCAGUUUCUUCUGGCCUCUGCUUCCAAUGCUGAGUUUGCAAGUAUGUACUCACUACCACCCUGGCCAUUCCCUAUGUGUUUUAAAAGGGCAGAAUGCCCACAGCCUUGAAGUGAGGCACUCAGGCCCUGCAGGAAAGCUGGCCCCAAUGGCAUGAGCACAGGAGAGCUGGUCCAGAUGCCUGCCAGCUGCCACAGGCAGUAGAGCUGGUCCUGACCCCAACCUGGGCUAAGCAGGAGAGCUGGCCUUGGCAGUUUGGGUUCAGGAGAACAGGUGGGAUGACCAACUCAAUUACCACUCA
rnacentral:lncRNA from 1 species